AGAGUGAACGCUGGCGGCAUGCUUUACACAUGCAAGUCGAACGGUAACAGGCCGCAAGGUGCUGACGAGUGGCGAACGGGUGAGUAAUGCAUCGGAACGUGCCCAGUCGUGGGGGGAUAACGCAGCGAAAGCUGUGCUAAUACCGCAUACGAUCUAUGGAUGAAAGCGGGGGACCGAAAGGCCUCGCGCGAUUGGAGCGGCCGAUGUCAGAUUAGCUAGUGUGGGUAAGCCCACAAGGCGACGAUCUGUAGCUGGUCUGGAGAGGACGACCAGGCCACACUGGAACUGAGUACGACGGUCCAGACUCCGUACGGGA
rnacentral:rRNA from 1 species